rnacentral:rRNA from 1 species
UAAAACGUAGGAGGCGAGCGUUAUCCGGAUUUACUGGGCGUAAAGCGCGUGCAGGCGGUAAGGAAAGUUGGAUGUGAAAGCUCCCGGCUUAACUGGGAGAGGUCGUUCAAAACUACCUAACUAGAGUAUGGGAGAGGGAAGUGGAAUUCCGGGUGUAGUGGUGAAAUGCGUAGAUAUCCGGAGGAACACCAGUGGCGAAAGCGGCUUCCUGGUCCAAGACUGACGCUCAGACGCGAAAGCUAGGGUAGCAAACGGGAUUAGAGACCCCGGUAGUCCUAGCCGUAAACGAUGUGGACUUGGCGUCGGCGGGUUUAAAUCCGUCGGUGUCGAAGCAAACGCGAUAAGUCCACCGCCUGGGGACUACGGCCGCAAGGUUAAAACUUAAAUGAAUUGACGG